AACGCGAAGAACCUUACCUGGGUUUGACAUGCACUAGACAGCCUCAGAGAUGGGGUUUCCCUUGUGGUUGGUGUACAGGUGGUGCAUGGCUGUCGUCAGCUCGUGUCGUGAGAUGUUGGGUUAAGUCCCGCAACGAGCGCAACCCUUGAUCUUAGUUGCCAGCAUUUAGUUGGGCACUCUAAGGUGACUGCCGGUGACAAACCGGAGGAAGGUGGGGAUGACGUCAAAUCAUCAUGCCCCUUAUGACCUGGGCUACACACGUGCUACAAUGGAUGGUACAAAGGGCUGCAAGACCGCGAGGUCAAGCCAAUCCCAUAAAACCAUUCUCAGUUCGGAUUGUAGGCUGCAACUCGCCUACAUGAAGCUGGAAUCGCUAGUAAUCGCGGAUCAGCAUGCCGCGGUG
rnacentral:rRNA from 1 species